rnacentral:rRNA from 1 species
UACGAAGGGGGCUAGCGUUGUUCGGAUUUACUGGGCGUAAAGCGCACGUAGGCGGUUUGUUAAGUCAGGGGUGAAAUCCCAGAGCUCAACUCUGGAACUGCCUUUGAUACUGGCAAGCUCGAGUCCGGAAGAGGUAAGUGGAACUCCUAGUGUAGAGGUGGAAUUCGUAGAUAUUAGGAAGAACACCAGUGGCGAAGGCGACACGCUGGGCCGUACCUGACACUGAACCGCGACAACGAUGGGAGGCAACAAGGAGU